CCUCUAUGGGGCGUCCUGACCCCGCUAUGGGGUGUCCUGAAGCUCUGUGGGGUGUCCCACCCCCUCUAUGGGGCAGCCCUGUGCCUCUAUGGGGCGUCCUGACCCCGCUAUGGGGUGUCCUGACCCCUCUAUGGGGCGUCCUGAAGCUCUGUGGGGUGUCCCACCCCCUCUAUGGGGCAGCCCUGAGCCUCUAUGGGGCAUCCCACCCCUGCUAUGGGGCGUCCUGACCCCGCUAUGGGGUGUCCUGACCCCGCUAUGGGGCGUCCUGACCCCGCUAUGGGGUGACCCAUCCCCUCUAUGGGGCAUCCCACCCCCUCUAUGGGGCAGCCCUGAGCCUCUAUGGGGCGUCCUGACCCCGCUAUGGGGCGUCCUAAAGCUCUGUGGGGUGUCCCACCCCCUCUAUGGGGCAGCCCUGUGCCUCUAUGGGGCAUCCUGACCCCGCUAUGGGGCGUCCUAAAGUUCUGUGGGGCAACCCACCCCCUCUAUGGGGCAGCCCAACCCUUACUAUGGGGCAGCCCAACCCCCGCUAUGGGGCAGCCCAACCCGCACUAUGGGGCAGCCCAACCCCUGCUAUGGGGCAGCCCAACCCCUGCUAUGGGGGGUCCCACCCCCGUGGUGCGCUAUGGGGCAACCCACCACCUCUAUGGGGCAGCCCAACCCCCGCUAUGGGGCGGCCCAACCCCUGCCAUGGGGCAGCCCAAGGUGUGCUAUGGGGCAGCCCUACCCCUGCUACGGGGCAGCCCAACCCGUGCUAUGGGGCAGCCGAACCCGCACUAUGGGGCAGCCCAAGGUGCGCUAUGGGGCAGCCCUACCCCCGCUACGAGGCGGCCCAACCCCUGCUAUGGGGCAGCCGAACCCGUGCUAUGGGGUGGCCCAACCCGCACUAUGGGGCAGCCCAACCCCCGCUAUGGGGCAGCCCAUGCCCUGCUAUGGGGUGGCCCAACCCCCGCUAUGGGGCGACCCAC
rnacentral:lncRNA from 1 species